CAACCCUCGGGCCCCCGCGGCCCGGUGUUGGGGAUCUGCCCUCACCCGGCAGGCCCUGAAAAGCAGUGGCGGACCCGCCCCGGCCCCGGCGUCGUAGUAAUAACGACGCGCCGGCGGCCUCGGCGCUUCCGGCCUCUAAACCCCCCACAAGCCCGCUCCUGCGGCACCAAGG
rnacentral:misc_RNA from 1 species